CUGACCUCAAAUCAGGAG
rnacentral:rRNA from 2 species